UACGGAAGGCAGCAGGGGGGAAUAUUGCACAAUGGGCGCAAGCCUGAUGCAGCCAUGCCGCGUGUAUGAAAAAGGCCUUCGGGUUGUAAAGUACUUUCAGUCGUGAGGAAGGUGUUAAGGUUAAUAACCUUAGCAAUUGACGUUAGCGACAGAAGAAGCACCGGCUAACUCCGUGCCAGCAGCCGCGGUAAUACGGAGGGUGCGAGCGUUAAUCGGAAUUACUGGGCGUAAAGGGCACGCAGGCGGUUAAUUAAGUUGGAUGUGAAAUCCCCGGGCUUAACCUGGGAAUGGCAUUCAAGACUGGUUAGCUAGAGUCUUGUAGAGGGGGUAGAAUUCCAUGUGUAGCGGUGAAAUGCGUAGAGAUGUGGAGGAAUACCGGUGGCGAAAGGCGGCCCCCUGGACAAAGACUGACGCUCAUGUGCGAAAGCGUGGGGAGCAAACAGGGAUUAGAUACC
rnacentral:rRNA from 1 species